CGGGUGAGUAACGCGUGGGUAACCUACCUCAUACAGGGGGAUAACAGUUAGAAAUGACUGCUAAUACCGCAUAAGCGCACAGUGCUGCAUGGCACAGUGUGAAAAACUCCGGUGGUAUGAGAUGGACCCGCGUCUGAUUAGCUAGUUGGUGGGGUAACGGCCUACCAAGGCGACGAUCAGUAGCCGGCCUGAGAGGGUGAACGGCCACAUUGGGACUGAGACACGGCCCAA
rnacentral:rRNA from 1 species